UGCUGGCAUAUGGACUGUCUAUUCUCAGC
rnacentral:piRNA from 1 species